CAGGAUUUGGAGGAAAGAAACCUGGCCCAGUGACCUUGGGUAGGCCCGCCCUCUCUGUUAACUUCAGUUUUUCCAGGUAUCAAAUGGGAAUGUUGAUCCCAUCCUUACCAACUUCUACAGUGACUGACGGGAUCCAAGGAGGAUACAAACAGGAAGGAGCUUUGCUGUUCCCUGAGUUUUAUUGUACUGUAUCACCCUUCUUCUUAUGAUGAUGUGAGAUGUUAAAGUGCCUGCUUGAUGAGGUGAAGUGAGGCUCCAUGACCUCCCUGGACUUCAGUUUCCAAAUCUGCUGAUGGAGGAUGAUGUUUUCAGUGCCUACAUAGCUCCCAAAGUGAAGAUGAUAUGGAAACUGGGUGGUGUCCAGGCCGGUCACACAGAGCCAAGAAGGAGGAAUGCUUGCCCUGCUUCUGCCAUGGUCUUCAUAGUGAGAGACAGGCAGCUACGCCCCUGAAUUCUCCAGGACCUGCCAAGUUGGGCCAUUUCAGAGAGGAGAAACUGAGACUCAGAGCUAUGUAAUCAGCAUGCUGGAGCACAGAAAGCAGAGACAGGCAGAAGGCAAGAGUUCAGAGGUGGGAAAGGAAUCCUGGCCCACCCAGAUUGGCAAAGCCAUUGCAAACCCAUGGUUCUGGGGUUUUCCUGUUGGCUUACAAAGUGAUAUCAAGGCAGGGGCAUUGUUUUCCCUGGUCUCUGCCAUUGAUAAGACAGAGAAAAACAGCUCCCACGAUAACAUUGAUGCUGCCAGCCCUUCCUGCCACUGGCUUUCCUGGUUGGAGUCCUCUCCUAUGCUUCUUCCUGUCUCUCCUUCCGGACUGAGAUUCAAGCCGAGAUGCCUUGUGGGGCCAAGGAGCCAGCGGUGAGGUUCCCUCCUUCAGUUGCUUCAGCAGGCACAUAGCUCUUUCUGAUCUUGGACAAAGCCCAAAAGGCUCUGAGGCAGUGGUGUGCUGGGGCAGGCUCAUACUGGCUCACUAGAGCCAAUUGCUAAAUUUCGGGGAAUCUUGUAAACCAAUUG